rnacentral:lncRNA from 1 species
GUGGAUAAUGAUGAAUGUUUGUCUUAUAUUUCUUCUUCAUUUGACAGAACCUUAAUGAAAUGAGAUCACGCUAUUUCUUCAGUAAAUUUGUUCUGUGAAAGUAGGUACCUUAUUUUAAUACACUUACUAAACUUAUGUGGCUUCAUAGAACUUCAUUUGUUAAUCUUCCUGUUAUACUUUGCUUUAUCAGAUGUUGGAGAAGUUAAAAUUAGAAAAUACUUUCUAGAAUAAUUGUUUUACCAGAUACAGGCAAAUGUAUUAGAACCAAAACACAUUAUAUACAUAUAACUACAUAUUUAUUUUACUUGAAUUUUUGAAAUUUUCAGGGGGAAAUGAUUUAAACUGUAAAUUGUUUAACUAAUUCAUUUUAAUAUUCUCUUUUGCUCGUUUCACUUCCCUCUUUUUUAAAGUACAUUUUGAGAAAAUUAAUUACUUAUUAUGAUCAUAGUUAUUUAACAAGUAAACAUAAUAAACCAUUGCUUUUUCUACAUUUUCAUUUUCUUUGAUGCAAAUAUGUCUUGAUUAACAAAUAGCUGCAUUUUAUAUGUUAGUCAUUGUUAUUUCAAGCUGCAGUUUUGCCACAAAACAAUGUAGCAAGAUAUUAUUUAAGCUAAAACAGAAUACAGAGAAUCUUAAAUGGUAAUACCCCAAAACAGUUUAGGGCGAAAGUACACAUUAGAUUCUUGUUAUAGGUUUUCUUCAUUAUUGUAUACAUUAUAAAAUACUUCUAAAUGACUGUAAGGAUGAAAAAUGGUUUCUUAAUCAAAAUAAGAAAUGUUUUAAAUAAUAAAUGUUCUGUAGUAUAGAUCUAUCUUUACUUGUUUCAUACUUAAUGACAUGCCACGCAGUUUCAGUUCUGAACAGCAUGCUAUACAUUUUAGCAACUUGUUUGUCCACAUAUAAGAUUAUUGAAGAUUAAAUUAACAUUUGAAUUAAUAUUAGUCCAGACAUCUGAAGGAAGAUGCUGUCCAUUGAGUUACAACCCCUAAUUUUAUUACCAAGAAAAAAUGUCAUUCUAUAAUCUGUCACUACAAAAAACUAUUCAGAACAAUAUAUACGAUAAUAUUCAAGCACUACUUUCAAAUAUCUAUAAUAUCAAACUGCCUAUAUCCCUUUUAAUAACAGCCAUGGCAUAAUUCAACAUUUCUGCAGCACUUUCUCAUAGAAUACGCAAAGAUGAAAAGAAAUAGUGAAAUGCAAGCUAUUUUAUCAUGGUGAGUACAGAGCAAGAGGCGUCAACUCAAAAGACAAAUAAACUGAAAACAAUUGUUUCAUACAAAAUGUCCAUCUGUGUCAAUUUCAGAGGUACGUGUUAAAGAAAAAGAACUGAGUACAGCCAUUUUUAUUUCAUUUUGAAUUUUAGUCAUUAUAUGCUUCACUGAACCCUUAUUAGAAUAUUUACUUUAAAUAUUUAGCUGCCAUGAAGAUUCUAAAAUAGAAGGUUCCAAUUUAAAUCUUAAGAUAGUAUCUUUUAGAAAACUGUGACUGCACUAUUCAUUUUUAUCGAGUUAUGCUUAAUGAAACAAAACAUUAAAAGCUGCAAUCUUAGUAGCAAAUCAUUGCAUCUGAAUAAAGUGUUUCACAAAACAGAAUGAUAUACUAACCAUACAAAUUAAUAUUACAUAGUAAAAUGUGAUGCCACUAUAUCUUAGCUAGGUUGCAUAACAGUAUUGUAGAUCAACAUCUCAUUUUUAAAAAAAAAUACUGUAGUCUACAAAACAAUAUUAUUUUAAAUACUACAUUAUUGUAUAGUAGCCCUGCAUGCUAAUAACAAUUCAGAAGGCAUAUUUUCUGCAAUUUAUUGGCUAUGUUAGUAAAUAUGAAACCAGUGUUUAGUUCCUUGUUUGAAGUGUGAACAUUUUUGUUUAAAGACUGUUUCUAUUAUUUCCCUUGACCUUUUGUUGCUGUAUGGUUAUUACAAAUUCAGCAGAGCAAUUUAAACAUCUUUAAUUAAAACUAUUUUGAUUAGAUGAGGCUAGGAGCCGCACUCUCCAUCUUUUUUUAAAGAAGACUUUGAUUUUAUAAGACAAGCUGGAGAGGAGUCAAAUCUGCCACAUGCUGUGUGAAAAAAUGCCACCCUGGUGUGAACAAAGGGUUUAGAAUGGAGUCAAGAAGCGUGCAAGCUCAAUGUGUAAGCUUUUCCUGUGAAUUGUUCUGCCACAACCUGCAGGAUAUCAAGUGGGCCGGGAAGAAUAGGCAGCUCUUAGAAGCUACAACAGAGAAACACUGGCAAUCCAAAGUGUGUGAGAGCCUCUUUUGUUUUGCUUCAUUACGGCAAACUGUUUUACCCAAACAGAAACUAAAUUCAAGACCAAAAAAAGAAAAGGAAAAAGUCUGAGACUGGCUGAAGAACCAGUGGUAUGUGCCUUUUUAUCUUCUCACAGUCCGGAACAAGGUGAUGGAAUUUACAAAUCAGAUAAUUCAUGGCAUGGGCCUCUCAACUCUCCUUCCAAAAUAUAAGAAUAACUUGUGCUGCC